CUCCGUAGCGGUUUCCUUCAGAGCAGGUGGUGACUGCUCCUUGGGGAGCAAGGAGGAGGCCCAGGCCGCGCGGCCAUGCUCGGGCGCGCAUCACCCGAAGCUACCCUGGAUUUGACUCUCUUCUAGUGACCAGUCCUUGCCAGGUCCUUCCAAAUAAGACUCACAGGAAAUCAAACCAGCAAGUGAUGGCCCCACAUGGCUACAAAGUAAAUCUUUUUGGAUUUUGCUCCUCUUCCUAAUUUUUUGGUGAAAAUGGCAAGAAUAAAAUAUACAGAAUGAGGGGAUUUUGUAAAGCCAAGCACCUCUGAGAGCUUUGGAUGAAAAGAAUGCAAACAUCAGAGCUCUGCAACCCAGCAGAGGACGCCUCCAGAAAAGUGUGUAACCACAUGGAGCUUUUCAGCAGCCUGAUCUGUUUUCGUUGUCAGUGGCUCCACCAGAGAACUUUGGUGCUGAGAGGCAGAAUGGCACUCAGCCACCUACUGAUGAAGUUACAGCUGCACUAGCUUACUAGGCAAGAUCCACCCACUUCACCCAGUAUGGUAACUGGAGGAAACAGCUGGAACUGGUGACGGCAGAGAAGGAAGUUCAAACAUUUCCAACUUGGUCUGCAUCUUUUUAGUUCUUUUACUUCUUAUUAAUCCAGAGGAGAAAACAGCUGGUUCAUUCGCAAUUCCAAAAAAAAUCCGAAGUUUUAGGUAACAGCGUUCUUUGCCUGGUACAUCAGUUUGUGUGAUAAAGAUCUGCAUACUAUGUUAAAAUAUAACAAUGGGAUAUUUGUAUAAGGCUCUUCUCUGCUACACUUGAAAGUGAGCUCGUCUGAGAAACUAUUUUAUCAGUUUUAUUAUCCCACAUCAGUAGCUUUUGCUGUCAAAGAUUUCAUAAGCUAAAUUUUCUAGCAAAAUUUCUUUCUAGAAAUUCCAUCUACAAUAUUCAGUUACUUUUAGCGGUUUUAUUGUGACAUAUGCAUUAAAAUGCAUAAAUCAGUUAUUCAGUUGUAAUGAGUAAUUGUAAAAGAAACCUCCAUGUAACCAACCAGGUCAAGAACUGGAACACUGCCAGCACCCCAGAAGUCCCCCAGUGACCUUCCUGAACACAACUCUUUCCCUCCCUUUUAGAGUUCUUUGUUUAGAGUCAGUGAUAUUAUAAGGCUGGAGGAAGACCCAGAGAAAUUAAAUGACUUGCCCAGGGUCAGAAGAGCAACUAAAAAGGAAGCCUGGACUCGGCCCCAAGUCUUCAAAAUAGAGUAUGCUCGCUAUUAUAUCACAGUGGCCCUCAGGCUCGCUAUUAUAUCACAGUGGUCCUCAGGCUCCUGGAGCAGUAAGGUAAAUUAAUUCUCCUGGUCUAUAGAGUAUUUUUCACUUCCACAUGGCAAACCUCUUAUUCUACCGUUGGAUAAGGUUACUUUAUUUUAAGCCUAACAGCUUUAGGAUCAGAUUAAGAUUGGUCUAAAUAAAAAUAAAAGAAUAGGGGCUUCCCUGGUGGCGCAGUGGUUGAGAGUCCGCCUGCCGAUGC